GCAAACUCUACCCUCACAAGAGACCACAGGACCACAACCAGAACCAUGAGAAAGCCAGCUCAGGUGGUGUUGGCGGCAGACAGCGAUCCGAGCCCGGAGGCGCUCCACGAUAGCACUGUGCACUCUCGGGGUGACUGAGCCCCCUCCAAGGAGCCCCGCCCCAGAGGCCCCCCCUAGCCCUCCUGCGGGGGCCUGCGGGGGCGCUGUGUCCCCCAUCUUACUGGACACAAUGAUUGCUGCCUCUGGGAUGGUGAGGUGGAAAGAGGCUACUGCUGGCUAUUGCAGGCAAGUCUGUUUUUGACAAUGUGAGCUCAGUGUUCAGGGCCACAUGAAUAGAGGUCUUCAGAGGUUGUGGGGGAGCCGUGGAGAAGGUGUGGGGGAGGGGAGUUAGUAAAAAGAGGGUGGGGAGAAAGAAUAGAAACCAGCUGGGGGGAGGAUAAGUUGGAAACAAACCCUGAUUAACUUACUCUAAUUGCAUUUGACAGCUCUGGAGAAGUUGGACAGAGUUGGUGGAUUUUUUUUCCUCCACCAAGCUGACAAGAGCCACUAGGUACUUUGUAAACACACGAUCUGGGGGUUAGAUCAAGAAUUCAGGGAUUGUCCAGCAAGAGACAGAAACACACAGCAAAAGGUAUUGAGAGAGGUAUUAAUAGAGAGGACUCCCCCUCACCUAGUUGUUUCCGACAAUUCUUUAUGGGGAUGUUUCUGCAGAGAAACACAUUUCUACCAUGUCUAUGUAACCAGCAGCCUUGACUUUUCCUCAGGUUAAAUAAAAAACCAAAACAAAACAGUGCUGUUUCAGAAGAUGUUUAAGUCACUGUUCAAAAUGUGCAAAAAUCAAGGGAGACUGUCUUUUGGCUUUUAAUUUUUCCUCCCUUUCCUUUCGCUCCGGUGUUUUCUCCUCUUUGGGGUACUGUAGGAUGUUGUCUUCUCCCAAAAGAGGGAGACAGCUUUUCAACUGUUAACAAUGUCAGUAAUUGGACUUUUGGACCAUGCUUUUUUCUUCAGCUAAUCCAAUCACCGGUAAAAUCCUCACUCCCUCUAAGGUUUCCUAGCCUUAAAUGAAAAGCAAUCUUAAGUCGCUAGCCACUGAGAGAGAUCCUUCAACACAUUUUUUUCUUUCCCGCUUACGUUUCUAUUCCUCACCCCCGGCUCUAUUCUAAUACAGUAUCAAGAGAGACAAACUCUUCCGAGAGUAAUUUACAAACGAUGGUCAAACUUACAAACUUCCAGCAAAUUGCACCGAGUCAUGUCCAGCCACUUUUCUGUCCACUUUUGUACAUUCCAUCCCCGGCCAGUGGAUCUGAGGGUCUGGACUCGCAAUAAGCAAUCUGGUUCUAUCUCCUGUAUUUGCUCCGCUUUAUAGAUGGAAAAAAAAAAAGUAGCUUGUAUUUUCCUUUCUCUUUCUCGUCUGUUGUUAGCCGCUUUGCUGACACUGGCU
rnacentral:lncRNA from 1 species